rnacentral:tRNA from 1 species
UGAGAGGUCGUCUAAUGGCAGGACGGCUGACUUUGGAUCAGCAAAUGGGGGUUCGACUCCCUCCCUCUCAG